AGCGAACGCUGGCGGCAGGCCUAACACAUGCAAGUCGAACGAUCCUUCGGGAUAGUGGCGGACGGGUGAGUAACACGUGGGAACGUGCCCUUUGGUUCGGAAUAACUCAGGGAAACUUGAGCUAAUACCGGAUGAGCCCUUCGGGGGAAAGAUUUAUCGCCAUUGGAGCGGCCCGCGUUGGAUUAGCUAGUUGGUGGGGUAAAGGCCCACCAAGGCUACGAUCCAUAGCUGGUCUGAGAGGAUGAUCAGCCACACUGGGACUGAGACACGGCCCAGACUCCUACGGGAGGCAGCAGUGGGGAAUCUUGCGCAAUGGGCGAAAGCCUGACGCAGCCAUGCCGCGUGAAUGAUGAAGGUCUUAGGAUUGUAAAAUUCUUUCACCGGGGACGAUAAUGACGGUACCCGGAGAAGAAGCCCCGGCUAACUUCAUGCCAGCAGCCGCGGUAAAAC
rnacentral:rRNA from 1 species